UUCUCUUAUGCCACUUCCUCAGUGGUGUCCAGCUUUAUGGGUUGACUGCAAUUAUUUGCAUCGCCAUCCCCAUCCCAGGUCAACUCUCUGGCAAUUAGCAGUCCGGAUGCUCCACUUUACUAUUUUCUCCAGUACUAAACCUCCUUUAUCUGUUGAGAAGGUAGUUAAUUACUCUGGGCACUCUUGAGGACAACUUCUAGUUGAUCCACGUGGCCUUUGGUUGAUGGAUUCUGCUGCUGCUUGAGGCUGUUAACCUUAAGGACUUCAUCUCCCUUUAUUUUUUAUUGC